rnacentral:rRNA from 1 species
GACGAACCGUGCGAACGUUGUUCGGAAUCACUGGGCAUAAAGGGCGCGUAGGCGGCUUUUCAAGUCAGGGGUGAAAUCCGGCAGCUCAACUGUCGAAGUGCCCUUGAUACUGAUGAGCUCGAGGGAGGUAGGGGUCUGUGGAACUUCCGGUGGAGCGGUGAAAUGCGUUGAUAUCGGAAGGAACGCCGGUGGCGAAAGCGACGGACUGGACCUCUUCUGACGCUGAGGCGCGAAAGCCAGGGGAGCAAACGGGAUUAAGAAACCCCGUGUA